rnacentral:rRNA from 1 species
AGUGAACGCUGGCGGUAGGCCUAACACAUGCAAGUCGAACGGCAGCACAGUAAGAGCUUGCUCUUACGGGUGGCGAGUGGCGGACGGGUGAGGAAUACAUCGGAAUCUACUUUUUCGUGGGGGAUAACGUAGGGAAACUUACGCUAAUACCGCAUACGACCUACGGGUGAAAGCAGGGGAUCUUCGGACCUUGCGCGAUUGAAUGAGCCGAUGUCGGAUUAGCUAGUUGGCGGGGUAAAGGCCCACCAAGGCGAGGAUCCGUAGCUGGUCUGAGAGGAUGAUCGGCCACACUGGAACUGAGCCACGGUCCAGGCUCCUACGGGAGGCACCAGUGGGGAAUAUUGGACAAUGGGCGCAAGCCUGAUCCAGCCAUACCGCGUGGGUGAAGAAGGCCUUCGGGUUGUAAAGCCCUUUUGUUGGGAAAGAAAAGCAGCAGGUUAAUACCCCGCUGUUCUGACGGUACCCAAAGAAUAAGCACCGGCUAACUUCGUG